rnacentral:rRNA from 1 species
GCAUAUCAAUAAGCGGUGGAAAAGAAACCAACAGGGAUUGCCUCAGUAACGGCGAGUGAAGCGGCAAGAGCUCAAAUUUGAAAUCUAGUACCUUCGGUGCUCGAGUUGUAAUUUGAAGGUAGUUUUCUGGUGCUGGCCCUUGUCUAUGUUCCUUGGAACAGGACGUCAUAGAGGGUGAGAAUCCCGUCUGAUGGGGUGUCCAGUGCUUUGUAGAUUUCUACCGAAGAGUCGAGUUGUUUGGGAAUGCAGCUCUAAGUGGGUGGUAAAUUCCAUCUAAAGCUAAAUACUGGCGAGAGACCGAUAGCGAACAAGUACAGUGAUGGAAAGAUGAAAAGAACUUUGAAAAGAGAGUGAAAAAGUACGUGAAAUUGUUGAAAGGGAAGGGUAUUGGAUCAGACUUGGUGUUUUGUGAUUAUCUUCCCUUCUUGGGUUGUGCACUCGCAUUUCACUGGGCCAGCAUCGGUUCGGAUGGCAAGAUAAUAGCUUGGGAAUGUGGCACUCUUCGGAGUGUGUUAUAUCCCUUGUUGAUGUUGCCUAUCUGGACCGAGGACUGCGGCUUCUGCCUAGGAUGCUGGCGUAAUGAUUCAAUACCGCCCGUCUUGAAACACGGACC